rnacentral:rRNA from 1 species
UACAGAGGGAGCAAGCGUUAUCCGGAAUGAUUGGGCGUAAAGCGUUUGUAGGUGGCUUGUAAAGUCUGCUGUCAAAUAUCAGGGCUUAACCUUGAGAAGGCAGCGGAGUACUCACAAGCUUGAGUGUGGUAGAGGUAGAGGGAAUUCCAUGUGGAGCGGUGAAAUGCGUAGAGAUAUGGAAGAACACCAGCGGCGAAGGCGCUCUACUGGGCCAACACUGACACUGAGAGACGAAAGCUAGGGUAGCCAAUGGG